rnacentral:rRNA from 1 species
UAGGGAAUUUUCCACAAUGGGCGAAAGCCUGAUGGAGCAACGCCGCGUGCAGGAUGAAGGCUUUAGGGUCGUAAACUGCUUUUAUUUGUGAAGAUUAUGACGGUAACAAAUGAAUAAGGACCUGCUAACUACGUGCCAGCAGCCGCGGUCAUACGUGGGGUCCAAGCGUUAUCCGGAAUUACUGGGCGUAAAGAGUUGCGUAGGUGGCAGAGUAAGUAGGUAGUGAAAUUGUGUGGCUCAACCAUACACCCAUUAUCUAAACUGCUCAGCUAGAGCAUAGAAGAGGUAGCUGGAAUUUCUAGUGUAGGAGUGAAAUCCGUAGAUAUUAGAAGGAACACCGAUGGCGUAGGCAGGCUACUGGUCUAUUGCUGACACUAAGGCACGAAAGCGUGGGGAGCGAACUGGAUUAGAUACCCCUGUAGUCC